rnacentral:rRNA from 1 species
AUUGAACGCUGGCGGAAUGCUUUACACAUGAAAGUCGAGCGGCAGCACGGGGGCAACCCUGGUGGCGAGCGGCGAACGGGUGAGUAAUACAUCGGAACAUGCCCAGUCGUGGGGGAUAACACUUCGAAAGAAGUGCUAAUACCGCAUACGUCCUGAGGGAGAAAGCGGGGGAUCUUCGGACCUCGCGCGAUUGGAGUGGCCGAUGUCAGAUUAACUAGUUGGUGGGGUAAAGGCCUACCAAGGCAACGAUCUGUAGCUGGUCUGAGAGGAUGAUCAGCCACACUGGGACUGAGACACGGCCCAGACUCCUACGGGAGGCAGCAGUGGGGAAUUUUGGACAAUGGGGGCAACCCUGAUCCAGCCAUUCCGCGUGAGUGAAGAAGGCCUUCGGGUUGUAAAGCUCUUUCGGCAGGAACGAAACGGCGAGCUCUAACAUAGCUUGCUAAUGACGGUACCUGAAGAAGAAGCACCGGCUAACUACGUGCCAGCCGCCGCCGUAAAAC